AACAAGUGUUGGUACACUUGUUUUCUGAUCAAAGGAAAGUUGCUUCGUUUGCUAUUAUUGAUACACAUAUUAUACUAAAUGUCAAAAAAGAACCAUACUCCUUUCAAGAUUAUACAAGUGUCAUACCAUGUGUUUUGAUUCAAUGGAGUAAUACAACUUUGAUUUUUUUCCAUACACCUACAUAGCCAAAUGGCAAAUUUAAAAACAUUAUGUAACACCUUUUAUUUUUCAUGACAAUAAUUUUCUUUUUUCAAAUAAUAAUUAUUUUGAAAUAAACUAUAAUUUUUCCUACAUGAACUAAUUGAAUAUAAAAAUUAGGAAAAACACCUAAAACAUAUCAUGACCUUACCCCGCAUUCAUUGUUGGUUGAUCCUUUUGGUUUUAUAUAUCUUUGUUGAUUUGCUACAGAUAAUGCUAUUUGUUAAAGCGCAUAUUUAAAAUUUUGUGCUUUUUACAUAGAAUAUUACCUUUUUGAGUUUGACAAAUACCCUCCUUUAUCGUUUGCGUUUUCUGGAAAUGCUAUCUUUCAGUGUCCAUGUGAAAUUCUGAGCACAUGCUUGCUGUUAACUAGGGAAAAUGCAAGAUGGGCUGCAACUAAUUGAUGAUGAGUUAAAAAAAGAAUGUCAAAAUAAAUUUACUGGCUGGAUGGUACCUGUUGAAAUGUAUUGGUAAAAGAAUGAGAAAUGGUUCCGAAAGAUCCAUUGUAUUUAUGACCUCUAUCAUUGGUGCUGAGAGAGGCUGGAAUCCAGCUGCUGGUUAGGUUAAGUACCUUUUAAAUUCUCCUGUAUAUUUGGGAUGCAUGAUCAGGUCAUGUAAGAUCAUGUUCUAUAAAAUUGGAUGGGACAAGACGUCACACAUCUUCAUAAACAUUUUCAAUUUCUUGUU